UCCUACGGGAGGCAGCAGUAGGGAAUCUUCCGCAAUGGACGAAAGUCUGACGGAGCAACGCCGCGUGAGUGAUGAAGGCUUUCGGGUCGUAAAACUCUGUUGUUAGGGAAGAACAAGUGCUAGUUGAAUAAGCUGGCACCUUGACGGUACCUAACCAGAAAGCCACGGCUAACUACGUGCCAGCAGCCGCGGUAAUACGUAGGUGGCAAGCGUUAUCCGGAAUUAUUGGGCGUAAAGCGCGCGCAGGUGGUUUCUUAAGUCUGAUGUGAAAGCCCACGGCUAAACCGUGGAGGGUCAUUGGAAACUGGGAGACUUGAGUGCAGAAGAGGAAAGUGGAAUUCCAUGUGUAGCGGUGAAAUGCGUAGAGAUAUGGAGGAACACCAGUGGCGAAGGCGACUUUCUGGUCUGUAACUGACACUGAGGCGCGAAAGCGUGGGGAGCAAACAGGAUUAGAUACCCUGGUAGUCCACGCCGUAAACGAUGAGUGCUAAGUGUUAGAGGGUUUCCGCCCUUUAGUGCUGAAGUUAACGCAUUAAGCACUCCGCCUGGGGAGUACGGCCGCAAGGCUGAAACUCAAAGGAAUUGACGGA
rnacentral:rRNA from 1 species